UACAGAGGGUGCGAGCGUUAAUCGGAAUUACUGGGCGUAAAGCGCGCGUAGGCGGUUUGGCAAGUCGGAUGUGACAUCCCCAGGCUUAACCUGGGAACUGCAUUCGAGACUGUCUUACUAGAGUAUGGGAGAGGGAAGUGGAAUUUCCGGUGUAGCGGUGAAAUGCGUAGAUAUCGGAAGGAACAUCAGUGGCGAAAGCGACUUCCUGGACCAAUACUGACGCUCAGGUGCGAAAGCGUGGGGAGCAAACAGG
rnacentral:rRNA from 1 species